rnacentral:rRNA from 1 species
GAUGAACGCUGGCGGCGUGCCUAAUACAUGCAAGUCGAGCGAACAGACGAGGAGCUUGCUCCUCUGACGUUAGCGGCGGACGGGUGAGUAACACGUGGAUAACCUACCUAUAAGACUGGGAUAACUUCGGGAAACCGGAGCUAAUACCGGAUAAUAUAUUGAACCGCAUGGUUCAAUAGUGAAAGACGGUUUUGCUGUCACUUAUAGAUGGAUCCGCGCCGCAUUAGCUAGUUGGUAAGGUAACGGCUUACCAAGGCAACGAUGCGUAGCCGACCUGAGAGGGUGAUCGGCCACACUGGAACUGAGACACGGUCCAGACUCCUACGGGAGGCAGCAGUAGGGAAUCUUCGGCAAUGGGCGAAAGCCUGACGGAACAACGCCGCGUGAGUGAUGAAGGUCUUCGGAUCGUAAAACUCUGUUAUUAGGGAAGAACAAAUGUGUAAGUAACUAUGCACGUCUUGACGGUACCUAAUCAGAAAGCCACGGCUAACUACGUG